UUGCUUUUGAUUAUUUUAGCGGCGGACGGGUGAGUAACGUGUGGGUAACCUGCCUUUUACUGGGGAAUAAUCGUUGGAAACGACGACUAAUACCGCAUACGGUUCUUGGAAGGCAUCUUCUAAGAAAGAAAGGAUUUAUUCGGUAAAAGAUGGGCCCGCAUCUGAUUAGCUAGUUGGUGAGAUAAUAGCCCACCAAGGCAACGAUCAGUAGCCGACCUGAGAGGGUGACCGGCCACAUUGGGACUGAGACACGGCCCAAACUCCUACGGGAGGCAGCAGUGGGGAAUAUUGCACAAUGGGCGAAAGCCUGAUGCAGCAACGCCGCGUGAAGGAAGACGGUUUUCGGAUUGUAAACUUCUAUCAAUAGGGAAGAAAGAAAUGACGGUACCUAAAUAAGAAGCCCCGGCUAACUACGUGCCAGCAGCCGCGGUAAUACGUAGGGGGCAAGCGUUAUCCGGAAUUACUGGGUGUAAAGGGAGAGUAGGCGGCAAGGUAAGCGAUAUGUGAAAGCCUUAGGCUUAACUUAAGGAUUGCAUAACGAACUAUCUAGCUAGAGUACAGGAGAGGAAAGCGGAAUUCCUAGUGUAGCGGUGAAAUGCGUAGAUAUUAGGAAGAACACCAGUGGCGAAGGCGGCUUUCUGGACUGAAACUGACGCUGAGGCUCGAAAGCGUGGGGAGCGAACAGGAUUAGAUACCCUGGUAGUCCACGCUGUAAACGA
rnacentral:rRNA from 1 species